GGAAGGAAAGUUCCAUCUGGAUGACACAGUGUAGAUGUUGUGGUGGUGGGGGAAGGAAAGGUCCAUCUGGAUGACACAGUGUAGAUGUUGUGGUGGUGGGGGAAGGAAAGCUCCAUCUGGAUGACACAGUGUAGAUGUUGUGGUGGUGGGAAGGAAAGUUCCAUCUGGAUGACACAGUGUAGAUGUUGUGGUGGUGGGGGAAGGAAAGGUCCAUCUGGAUGACACAGUGUAGAUGUUGUAGUGGUGGGGGAAGGAAAGGUCCAUCUGGAUUACACAGUGUAGAUGUUGUGGUGGUUGGAAGGAAAGUUCCAUCUGGAUUACAUAGUGUAGAUGUUGUGGUGGUGGGGGAAGGAAAGUUCCAUCUGGAUUACACAGUGUAGAUGUUGUGGUGGUGGGGGAAGGAAAGUUCCAUCUGGAUUACAUAGUGUAGAUGUUGUGGUGGUGGGAAGGAAAGGUCCAUCUGGAUUACACAGUGUAGAUGUUGUGGUGGUGGGGGAAGGAAAGUUCCAUCUGGAUUACACAGUGUAGAUGUUGUGGUGGUGGGGGAAGGAAAGUUCCAUCUGGAUUACAUAGUGUAGAUGUUGUGGUGGUGGGGGAAGGAAAGGUCCAUCUGGAUUACACAGUGUAGAUGUUGUGGUGGUGGGGGAAGGAAAGUUCCAUCUGGAUGACACAGUGUAGAUGUUGUG
rnacentral:lncRNA from 1 species